rnacentral:tRNA from 1 species
AGCGAAAUAGCUCAGUUGGGAGAGCGUUAGACUAUAGAUCGAAAGGUCCCUGGUUCGAUCCCGGGAUUGGCAA